rnacentral:lncRNA from 1 species
UUACAAGUCGCUUAAUACAAAUAAAUUUACUUCAGUGUGGCAAAAGAAGUAUUGUGAGAAAAUUAAAUGAUGGGAAUGUUUUUAUUUCAGAAAUCUUGUUCCUGUACAUAAGUAUAUGACAAAUAAUAUUGCUCUUAUCAUGUUACUAAAGCCUGUCAGAAACCCAGAGCAUAGACAAAAGAACAUCGUUUUUCUGUAUAGUUUUUCAUUCUUUUGCUUUUCAUCAAGAGGUGCUUUCCAGAGACCCAGUCUCUAAUGUCUUUAUAAUCAAAAGCGUAAGUGUGUCAUGAUCCAAACCAAAUUGUCUUAAUGUUUUACAUCAGGUUGUAACACUUAUAUUAUCAUAUCCCAGUGGUUGCAUUGGUCACCAAAAUUCACUGAUAGUUACUAAAAAUACAUCUUACUCUAAAAAUGUUAUUACUGUUAACUUAAUGUUUUUGCCAUAUAUCAUUAUCAACUUGAAGAUGUAAAGUACAUAAAUUCUCUUUGUCCUCCAAAAAGCUCUCUCCUAUUCCACAUAGCUCUGUCUGGAAAAACAUAUGCAAAGGAUGUCAUAAGCCACAGCCACACAUCACCCUCCUAUAGUGGAAUCAGAGUGUAAAGGGAUGCUAGCUGAAGACACUCAGAGCUGAAGGGUCCUGAGAAGAAAAUGAACAGGAUGUUGCCUUCCCAGGAGUGCAGUAGGCAUUUAGUUCCCUGUGAAGAAGAACUGAUACACUGAAAGAUUGAUGGGUUUGCAGAAGAGGAAUCACUGCCAGUCUAGUACCAACACAGGUUCAUAGGACCAGACCAGAAUCACUCCAUUGCAAACAAAGCUCCUUUCCAAUAUGUGUGCAUGUGAC